AGAGUUUGAUCCUGGCUCAGAUUGAACGCUGGCGGAAUGCUUUACACAUGCAAGUCGAACGGCAGCACGGGGGCAACCCUGGUGGCGAGUGGCGAACGGGUGAGUAAUACAUCGGAACGUGCCCAAUCGUGGGGGAUAACGUAGCGAAAGCUACGCUAAUACCGCAUACGAUCUACGGAUGAAAGCGGGGGACUCGCAAGACCUCGCGCUAUUGGAGCGGCCGAUAUCAGAUUAGGUAGUUGGUGGGGUAAAAGCCUACCAAGCCUACGAUCUGUAGCUGGUCUGAGAGGACGACCAGCCACACUGGGACUGAGACACGGCCCAGACUCCUACGGGAGGCAGCAGUGGGGAAUUUUGGACAAUGGGCGCAAGCCUGAUCCAGCCAUGCCGCGUGCGGGAAGAAGGCCUUCGGGUUGUAAACCGCUUUUGUCAGGGAAGAAAUCUUCUGGGUUAAUACGAGGUGAGGUUGACGGUACCUUGAUAAGAAGCACCGGCUAACUACGUG
rnacentral:rRNA from 1 species